rnacentral:rRNA from 1 species
CCUACGGGUGGCAGCAGUGGGGGAUAUUGCACAAUGGGGGAAACCCUGAUGCAGCGACGCCGCGUGUGGGAAGACGGUCCUCUGGAUUGUAAACCACUGUCCCCAGGGACGAAGAUGACGGUACCUGGGGAGGAAGCUCCGGCUAACUACGUGCCAGCAGCCGCGGUAAUACGUAGGGAGCGAGCGUUGUCCGGAAUUACUGGGUGUAAGGGGAGCGUAGGCGGGACUGCAAGUUGGGUGUCAAAUCUACCGGCUCAACCGGUAGCCGCACUCAAAACUGCAGUUGUUGAGUGAAGUAGAGGCAGGCGGAAUUCCUAGUGUAGCGGUGAAAUGCGUAGAUAUUAGGAGGAACACCAGUGGCGAAGGCGGCCUGCUGGGCUUUUACUGACGCUGAGGCUCGAAAGUGUGGGGAGCAAACAGGAUUAGAUACCCCAGUAGUC